rnacentral:misc_RNA from 1 species
GAUGAAGAACGUAGUGAAAUGCGAAAAGUAGUGUGAAUUGCAGAAUUCAGUGAAUCAUCGAAUCUUUGAACGCACAUUGCGCCCCUUGGUAUUCCUUAGGGCAUGCCUGUUCGAGCGUCAUUUAAACCCUUCAAGCUCAGCUUGGUGUUGGGUGACUGUCCGCCGCCCCCGGGCGCGGACUCGCCCCAAAUUCAUUGGCGGCCGGUACGUAGGCUUCGAGCGCAGCAGAAACGCGAACUCGGGCCCGCGGUGUCGGCUCCCAGAAGCCAUCUCUUUUAUUUUGACCUCGGAUCAGGUAGGGAUACCCGCUGAACUUAAGCAUAUCAAUAAGCGGAGGA